rnacentral:snRNA from 1 species
CCAAUCAAGUGUAGUUAUAGGAUGAGGCCUGCUCCUUGCACUUUGGGCAGGUUGACCCCUGCAAGCUUCCCCAAGUGCAGCAAACUCAACUGCAUAAUUUUGUAGCAAUGGGAGACUGCAUUCUUUCUUUCUCUGU